UACGGAGGGUGCAAGCGUUAUCCGGAUUCACUGGGUUUAAAGGGUGCGUGGGCGGUCAGGUAAGUCAGAGGUGAAAUCUCCGGGCUUAACCCGGAAACUGCCUUUGAUACUAUCUGUCUUGAAUAUGGUGGAGGUAAGCGGAAUAUGUCAUGUAGCGGUGAAAUGCUUAGAGAUGACAUAGAACACCUAUUGCGAAGGCAGCUUACUACGCCUAUAUUGACGCUGAGGCACGAAAGCGUGGGGAUCAAACAGG
rnacentral:rRNA from 1 species